GCUUGUUUAGGCAAACAGUUCCUAACACUGGAACAACACAGGCAGAUUAGCGUGGCCCCACAUAAUUAUGCCAUGCAAGCUCAUGACGUGGUCCAUACAUUA
rnacentral:snRNA from 14 species